rnacentral:rRNA from 1 species
GACGAACGCUGGCGGCGUGCUUAACACAUGCAAGUCGAACGGAAAGGCCCUGCUUGUGUGGGGUGCUCGAGUGGCGAACGGGUGAGUAACACGUGAGUAACCUGCCCUUGACUUUGGGAUAACUUCAGGAAACUGGGGCUAAUACCGGAUAGGAGCUCCUGCUGCAUGGUGGGGGUUGGAAAGUUUCGGCGGUUGGGGAUGGACUCGCGGCUUAUCAGCUUGUUGGUGGGGUAGUGGCUUACCAAGGCUUUGACGGGUAGCCGGCCUGAGAGGGUGACCGGCCACAUUGGGACUGAGAUACGGCCCAGACUCCUACGGGAGGAAGAGGUGGGGAUAAUUGCACAAUGGGCGGAAGCCUGAUGCAGCAACGCCGCGUGCGGGAUGACGGCCUUCGGGUUGUAAACCGCUUUCGCCUGUGACGAAGCGUGAGUGACGGUAAUGGGUAAAGAAGCACCGGCUAACUACGUG